GACGAACGCUGGCGGCGUGCCUAACACAUGCAAGUCGAACGGAGUUGCCCUUCGGGACAACUUAGUGGCGAACGGGUGAGUAACGCGUGAGGAACCUGCCUUUCAGUGGGGGACAACAGUUGGAAACGACUGCUAAUACCGCAUAAUGUCAUCGAGCGGCAUCGCUUGAUGACCAAAGAUUUAUGCUGAAAGAUGGCCUCGCGUCUGAUUAGCUAGUUGGUGGGGUAACGGCCCACCAAGGCGACGAUCAGUAGCCGGUCUGAGAGGAUGAACGGCCACAUUGGGACUGAGAUACGGCCCAGACUCCUACGGGAGGCAGCAGUGGGGAAUAUUGGGCAAUGGGGGAAACCCU
rnacentral:rRNA from 1 species